UUUCAUGGUGUUGCGGCCGAACAUCCGGCUGGCGGCCGGGGCCGGACGAUCGGACUGGCCGAAGCGCUGUUCCAGCCAGCGCUGGAAAA
rnacentral:tRNA from 1 species